UUCUUCAUUUUCGGUAAUCCAAAAUCGUCCCGAUUAUUCACCGAAACACAAAACCGAUUUCAUAUCUUUGAAGUUCGUUAAGUCCAGGUCACAAAUAUCCAAGGUUCAUUUCAUUCCGGCGUCGUUUCACCGAUCAAAAGCGACGUUGAAGUCAGGUACUCACGAAGGCAGCCAGCACUGCGUCGGUGACGGUUUCCAGCUUUCAGUCGAU
rnacentral:lncRNA from 1 species